rnacentral:lncRNA from 1 species
UCCAUACCGGUCCAUAAUGGUCCAUACUGGGAGGACUGGUCCCUGUCCAUACUGGGCAUACUGGUUCAUACCAUGAGUAUUGGUCCAUACUGGGAAUACUGGUCCAUACUGGGAGUCCCAGUCCCUAUGGGAAUGCCCUGCUCCAUACUGGGAGUACUGGUCCAUACUGGGAGUACCAGUCCCGCUCCAUACUGGGCUUACUGGUCCAUACUGGGAGUCCCAGUCCAUACUGGGGAUGCCCUGCUCCAUACCGGUCCAUACUGGUCUAUACUGGGAGGACUGGUCUCCGUCCAUACUGGGUAUACUAGUUCAUACUGGGAGUACUGGUCCAUACUGGGAUAACUGGUCUACACUGGGAGCCCCAGUCCCCAUGGGGAUGCCCAUGGUGGUCCAUACUGGUACAUACUGGGAGGACCAGUCCCAGUCCAUACUGGGAGUACUGGUCCAUACUGGGAGUGCCAGUCCUGGUUCAUGCAGGGCUUACUGGUCCAUACUGGGAGUCCCAGUCCCUAUGGGAUGCCCUGCUCCAUACUGGGCGUACUGGUCCAUACUGGGAGGACCGGUUCCCAUCCAUACUGUGCAUACUGGUUCAUACUGCGAGUCCCAGUCCCAGUGGGGAUGCCCUGCUCCAUACUGGGAGUACUGGUCUAUACUGGGAGGACCGGUCCCACUCCAUACUGGGCAUACUGGUCCAUACUGGGAGUUCCAGUCCAUACUGAGAGUCCCAGUCCCUAUGGGGAUGCCUUGCUCCUUACUGGUCCAUACUGGGAGGACCAGUCCUGGCCCAUUCUGGGCUUCCUGGUCCAUACUGGGCUUACUGGUCCAUACUGGGCGGACCGGUCCCAGUCCAUACUGGGCAUACUGGUCCAUACUGGAGUCCCAGUCCCUAUGGGGAUGCCUUGCUCCAUACUGGUCCAUACUGGGCAGACCGGUCCCGGUCCAUACUGGGCGUACUGGUCCAUACUGGGAGGACCGGUUCCCAUCCAUACUGUGCAUACUGGUUCAUACUGGGAGUCCCAGUCCCAGUGGGGAUGCCCUGCUCCAUACUGGGAGUACUGGUCUAUACUGGGAGGACCAGUCCCACUCCAUACUGGACAUACUGGUCCAUACUGGGAGUCCCAGUCCAUACUGAGAGUCCCAGUCCCUAUGGGGAUGCCUUGCUCCAUACUGGUCCAUACUGGGAGGACCGGUCCUGGCCCAUUCUGGGCUUCCUGGUCCAUACUGGGCUUACUGGUCCAUACUGGGCGGACCGGUUCCGGUCCAUACUGGUCCAUACUGGGAGUCCUACUCCAUACUGGGAGUCCCAGUCCCUAUGGGGAUGCCUUGCUCCAUACUGGUCCAUACUGGGACGACUGGUCCUGGCCCAUUCUGGGCUUCCUGGUCCAUACUGGGAGUACUGGUCCAUACUGGGCGGACCGGUCCCAGUCCAUACUGGGCAUACUGGUCCAUACUGGAGUCCCAGUCCCUAUGGGGAUGCCUUGCUCCAUACUGGUCCAUACUGGGCGGACCGGUCCCGGUCCAUACUGGGCGUACUGGUCCAUACUGGGCAUACUGGUCCAUACUGGUUAUCCCGGUUCCCCCCCCCNNNNNNNNCCCCCCCCCCACUCACCGGGCCGGGCCGCAGCAUCGCGCUCCGAUUCCGAUCCGCUCCGAUUCGGUUCCGAAUCCCUUCGGGUUCGGUUCGGCUCCGUUCGGCUCCCAAUGCGUUCGGCACCGUUCGGUUCCGAAUCCGUUCGGUUCGGAUCCGUUCGGCUCCGGAUCUGUUCGGGUUCGGUCACGAUCCGUUCGGUUCCGUCCCGGUUCGGGGCCGUUCGGGUCCGGAUCCGUUCGGGUUCGGCUCUAUUCGGGCCUCUUCGGCCGCGUUCGGUUCCGCUCUCGGCGCCGUUCGGUUCCGUUCGGUUCCGUUCUGGGUUCGAUUCGGCGCCGUUCGGUUCCGCUCGGUUCCGCCCCUCGGUUUUAUUCGGCCCCGUUCGGUUCCGUCCGGUUCCGUCCCCGUUUGUCCCCGUUCGGUUCCGUUCGGUUCCGCUCUGGGCUCCGUUCGGUUCCGUUCGGUUCCGCUCUCGGCCGCGUUCGGAUCCGUUCGGUUCUAUUCGGCCCCGUUCGGUUCCAUUCGGCCGCGUUCGGAUCCGUUCGGUUCUAUUCGGCCCCGCUCGGUUCCAUUCGGCCGCGUUCGGAUCCGUUCGGUUCUAUUCGGCCCCGCUCGGUUCCAUUAGGCCGCGUUCGGAUCCGUUCGGAUCUCUUCGGCCCCGCUCGCUUUUCUUCGGCUCCCUUCGUUUCUAUGCGGCUCCGUUCGGCUCCGUUCGGAUCCGCCCUCGGUCGAAUUCGCCCCCGUUCGGCUCCGAUCGGCUCCG